rnacentral:lncRNA from 1 species
ACUCCAUUUCGCAUGAUUCUUCAAGCACUGUGGUCAGGCUUUCUCCAGGAGUUAAUUGACUUGCCAUGGGGACCAGCAGGGAGCUGGAGAGGAGGAGGUGAACCAACCCAUAGAUUGGGAAUAAACCAGUUUAUUCUAAAAAAAAUACUUUUCAUUUUCUCUUCACUGGGUGCAGUUGUUUUCUGCCUACUGCCUAGAGUCAUGUGUAGAGAAAUAACUCUGGCACAAGUGCCGUGCUUUGUUAGUUUACAGUAUACUACGGCAGUGCUAUAUGCCUGUACCAACAAAGUGUAUUUACAAGGAUAAAAGGUGAGUGGAAGGGUACAUUAAUUUGAAGUUUUUUCCUUUCAUUAGCUUUUUUUUAAUGGAGUUUGUAACAGAAAAUCGGGAGGAAGAAAAUCUUGCACUCUUAGGUUUGCCAAUGGAUAUACGUCACACAUCUCUUACUUCUCCUGCCACCCCACCUACACCCCUACAGUAACUCCCUGCCUUGGCCCACACACUUUCAGAUAGGAAUUAAGCUGCUUCAAAAUUGAAUAAGAAGAAAGAAUUCUUAUUCUUUCCUCUUAUUCAAUUAAUAAGCCUACAGGGAGGCCUACAAGUAGGAGGUCAAUCUCCUUACAACAUGGUGUGAUGACAACAACCUCACCCUCAACGUCAGCAAAACCAAGGAGCUGAUCGUUGAUUUCAGGAAACUGCAAACCGGACAUGCCCCUAUCCACAUCAACGGGACUGAAGUGGAAAGGGUCAGUAACUUUAAAUUCCUUGGUGUCCAUAUCACCGAGGACCUCACAUGGUCUCUCAACACCACCUGUCUGAUCAAGAAAGCGCAACAGAUGCACUACAGAAAGCACACUGACAGGCUGCAUCACAGUGUGGUAUGGCAACUGCAGUGCUGCUGACCGCAAAGCCCUACAGCGGGUGGUGAAAACUGCCCAGUCCAUCACUGCGGUUACCCUCCCAUCUAUCCAGGACAUUUAUGACAGACGGUGCUUGAGGAAAGCUCUAAGCAUAAUCAAAGACCCCACACACCCCAGCUACAGACUUUAUGAUCUGCUACCAUCUGGAAAACGGUACCGGAGCAUUCGGGCCCGGACUACCAGACUCAGAGAUAGUUUUUACCCCCGCACUAUCAAACUGUUAAAUUCCCAGCCUCUCUCACUCUCACUCUCACCUCACCACUCACCUAUGAUCUGAACCUCACAGUGCCUUCUUCCUUCCUUUCUUUCUUACCAAAAACCCAAACACACAUUGAAAAUCUUCUACCAUACAUGUCAAAAGCUCACUCCCCAUAAUUUCUAUCCCUUUAUUUUAUUCUGUUGAUGCAUAUGAACUUGAACUUAAACCUUAUUGCCAUAUGUAACCGGUACUGGUACAAUGGAAUUCUUACUUACAGAAAGUCUCUCGUUUGUAAAACAAGUGUAAAAAACAAAACAAAGUGCAAAGAGUGCAUCAAGACAAUGUACAAACAAACAAUAGACAAUGUGCAAGUAAACAUGCAGACAGUUUGAAUGUAAGUAAACAUGCAGACAGUUUGAAUGUAAGUAAACAUGCAGACANNNNNNNNNNNNNNNNNNNNNNNNNNNNNNNNNNNNNNNNNNNNNNNNNNNNNNNNNNNNNNNNNNNNNNNNNNNNNNNNNNNNNNNNNNNNNNNNNNNNAAGUAAACAUGCAGACAGUUUGAAUGUAAGUAAACAUGCAGACAGUUUGAAUGUAAGUAAACAUGCAGACAUUUUUGCACAUAACCUGUUACCUUUUUGUUGUUUUGCACAUUGCCUGUUGUUUUUUGCACAUUGCCUGUUGUUGGUUUUUUGCACAUCGUCUGUUGUUGUUUUUUGCACACUGGCUGUUGUCUCUGUCUUUAUUUUGCUACACAAUUGUAUUGUUGUUGUUGUUGUUGUUUUUUCUCUUUGUACUACUUAUGUCCGAGAGCUACCUAAAUAGCAUUUCGUUAUACCAUAAACCAUGUAUAUAAGUGUAAUGACAAUAAACUUGAAACUUGAAACUUGAA